AUUGAACGCUGGCGGCAUGCUUUACACAUGCAAGUCGAACGGUAACAGGCCACAAGGUGCUGACGAGUGGCGAACGGGUGAGUAAUGCAUCGGAACGUGCCCAGUCGUGGGGGAUAACUACUCGAAAGAGUAGCUAAUACCGCAUACGAUCUAUGGAUGAAAGCGGGGGACCGUAAGGCCUCGCGCGAUUGGAGCGGACGAUGUCAGAUUAGGUAGUUGGUGGGGUAAAGGCUCACCAAGCCAACGAUCUGUAGCUGGUCUGAGAGGACGACCAGCCACACUGGGACUGAGACACGGCCCAGACUCCUACGGGAGGCAGCAGUGGGGAAUAUUGGACAAUGGGCGCAAGCCUGAUCCAGCAAUGCCGCGUGCAGGAAGAAGGCCUUCGGGUUGUAAACUGCUUUUGUACGGAACGAAACGGCUCUGGUUAAUACCCGGGGCUAAUGACGGUACCGUAAGAAUAAGCACCGGCUAACUACGUG
rnacentral:rRNA from 1 species